GCCAGACCCAAAACUGCACUUCCUUCUGUA
rnacentral:piRNA from 1 species